rnacentral:lncRNA from 1 species
CAGCAGUAAAGAUGUGGAAAUACUGUUUCAUGUGCCCCUGAGUCCUCCAAAGCCUUCAGAAGAAAAAAAAACAAAACAAAACAGAAGAGCUGACUAGAACUGGUAAUGCAGUGUCAUAAACAGGGCUGGGGUUUCUCUGUGCCCUUAAAGCAUCUGAUCAGAGCAUAUGAAUGCAGAUCACAGCAUUUGUUUAUUACUAAGAUGUUAUUUGCUAGUGGCCCUGGUCCCAAAGGCAGCCCCUGGAGCCACCAUUGCACAGGCAGACCCCUGGGCCAUGGGCAUGUCACAGGAUGAUCAUUCACUGCUCUUUGGGAUGGCUGCUGCACCCCUCCUGAUGGCAAACUGCAGCCAUCCUCCUCUCUUACUGCUCAGCUUCCAGAGAGACAUUUGUGUUUUGUUUGUGCUCUGACAGUUAACAGAGAUCUUAAUGACAUACAAUUCAUAGAGCUUUAGGAUGGUAAUUACAACAGCAAUGCCACGUUCCAGGAACAAACUCGGGUAUUUCAGAGAAAACUCACACAAAACCAGGAACAGCUCCCAGAAGUCUUCUGACACUAAAUGUACAAAUAGCUUGAUAGAAUAAAUGGUUGCUUCCAGCAUGAACAGAACUAAUUUUAGACAGGAGUCCCUAAUGCGCCAGUCAGUGCUUCCAAAUGAAUGAUUAAAGAUAAAAAUAGAUUUCUCAUGUUUUUGCUUGCAUGGGGCCCCAGAUCUGUGAGCAAUAUGGAAUCACCUGCUGCAAACACCCAUGUGAACCUGCCUUAAUGUAUUGUGAGAAUGAUUCCACAGUGUCCAUCGAGCAGAGCUAAUUUCAUUGUCACAACUGGAGAUGUCCUGGUUGCAGUAAGAAGAAGUGCUUGGGUGCAGUGUGGCUGUGGCAGCUCCAUCCCGAGCAUCCACAAGCAUCCAUUCCCAAAAUACCUGAUGGGAAGACACCUUCAUCACAUGUGCUCAAAAGCCAAAGGAUUUCAUUGUUUUUGUAAGCACAUCAUUUAUCAAAAAAUUAACAGCUCUUGUAUUUAAGUGCUUAAUUGGCAACUAAAGAGUAAAGCCAGA